GGAUUAGAUACCCUGGUAGUCCACGCCGUAAACGGUGGGCGCUAGGUGUGGGGGCCAUUCCACGGUCUCUGUGCCGCAGCUAACGCAUUAAGCGCCCCGCCUGGGGAGUACGGCCGCAAGGCUAAAACUCAAAGGAAUUGACGGGGGCCCGCACAAGCGGCGGAGCAUGUGGAUUAAUUCGAUGCAACGCGAAGAACCUUACCUGGGUUUGACAUGCACCAGACGCAUCCAGAGAUGGGUGUUCCCUUGUGGUUGGUGUGCAGGUGGUGCAUGGCUGUCGUCAGCUCGUGCCG
rnacentral:rRNA from 1 species